rnacentral:rRNA from 1 species
CAACUUACCCUUAGGACCGGGAUAACUCCUGGGAAACUGGAGAUAAUACCGGAUAGAGCAUCGAAUGCUGGAAUGCACGAUGUUCAAAARCUGAGGUGCCUAAGGAUAGGUCUGCGGCCGAUUAGGUUGUUGUUGAUGUGAUGGAUUAACAAGCCUACGAUCGGUAUGGGUUGUGAGAGCAAUAGCCCAGAGAUGGGUUCUGAGAAAAGAACCCAGGUCCUACGGGACGCAUCAGGCGCGAAAACUUUACAAUGUGCGAAAGCACGAUAAGGGAACUCUGAGUGCCUCCUACGGAGGCUGUUCAGUUGUCUAAAACGCAUCUGAAGGAAGGGCUGGGUAAGACCGGUGCCAGCCGCCGCGGUAACACCGGCAGCCCRAGUGGUAGCCAUGUUUAUUGGGUCUAAAGCGUCCGUAGCCGGCCACGUAAGUUCCUUGGGAAAUUUGAUCGCUUAACGGUCAAGCUUUCGGGGAAUACUGCYUGGCUUGGGACCGGGAGAGGUCAGAGGUACUCUAAGGGUAGGGGUGAAAUCCAUUAAUCCUUGGGGGACCACCGGUAGCGAAGGCGUCUGACCAGACCGGAUCCGACGGUGAGGGACGAAGGCUAGGGUCACGAACCGGAUUAGAUACCCGGGUAGUCCUAGCUGUAAACGAUGCGGGCCAGGUGUUGGCAUUACUGCGAGUGAUGCCAGUGCCGAAGGGAAGCCGUUAAGCCCGCCAUCUGGGGAGUACGGUCGCAAGGCUGAACUUAA